rnacentral:misc_RNA from 1 species
CUCCCUGGUUCUUUAGACUUCCAUCUGAGAGCAAAACGGCUUAAAAGUACUGUUGAAAAAUGGUCCUACAGUGCCCCCGAAAGUUGAGGGUUGCCACUUGGAAAAUAGCUACAUGCACACUUCUUGAAAAUCACUUUCUUUGGGUAUUUAGUUUUGUAGGAAUAAUUUAAAAUGUAAUAGGUUAAACCACACAAAAAAAAAACGAUUAGGGAGAAGACAAUAAUUAGAUUUGUGUUUCAGAAACCUCACGGAUGGGAUUUUAUUGGGCCCUGAACAGUGCUGAUUUUACAGUCUUUCCGUACCCUCGUACGUUGUGCGCGGCAUAAUGCUCAAUGCUUAAUGCCCGCGCUUGAUAAGCAUGAUCGGACCUCCGAUGUACUCAUGUACAUAAGUGGGCUUACUUAGCUUGCAGGGGUUAAGUUACAUGUACAUGUACUUUGGAAGGAUUCCGUUAUAUUUUGAUAGUUUUUGGCACGAAGCUUCAUUAACGAGUAGAUAGAGUUGAUUGCAGGUGCAUGUAAUCCCAUCUCAUGAUGUCUCUUGUUGAUCUUGGUAAGAAGCUACUAGAGGCUUCUCGACAGGGCCUUGAAGAUGAAGUGAAGAUUCUUAUGGCCAAUGGAGCACCAUUUACAACUGAUUGGCUUGGUACCUCUCCCCUCCACCUUGCUGCACAUGCUGGUCAUGUACCUACUGCAGAAGUUCUUCUCAAAGCAGGAGUCAGUCGUGAUGCUAGGACAAAAGUAGACCGAACACCUCUUCAUUUGGCUUGCCAAGAAGGUCAUAAAGAAAUUGUUCAGUUGUUGAUAGAACAUGGUGCUGAUGUCAAUGCUAAAGAUAUGUGGAGGAUCUGUCAGUUGAAAAUGACACCACUUCAUUGGGCAGUUGAGCGAUUGCAUGCACCAGUUGUCAAAGUAUUACUAGAAAAUGGGGCUGCUUUGGACAAUUUCAACAAGUUUGAUAAAACCCCAGUGGAUAUAGCUGCAGAUCACCAGAAUGAAGAGGUCAUUGCUAUAUUGGAAAUGGCUCAGGGAAUGGGAAGUGAGGUGACAAUAGAGGAAGCUCCAUGUGUCUACAUCACAACAGAUGGUGAUCCAUCUGUCACUAUCAGUCCCACUCCAGCAGCUACUGCACUGCAAAGCUUUGUCACAGCAGCAGCAAGGGCCAAAUCUAAGGCUAGUUGUAAAGUUGUCACUAAAGUACCCACUACAGCAAGUUCUACAUCAGUGCUGGCAACGUUGGCAGCUUUAGCUGAGGCCUCUACACCUCUCAACAAACUUUCUGCCCACAGCAAUAGAAGUAACUCUCUAUAUGGAACAAGUGGCGAAUCACUUCAGAUGUAUACAUUAACAGAAGCUGGAAAGCUGGCCAUGCAGUGGAAGAAAUUCAGCAAUGAGGAUGAGAAUCGAAAGCAGUCUUGUGCAGGUGGCAGACUGACCUUGUAUUGACCUAUUUUCAGAGUUCACCAGGUGGUGCUGUUGUUUUUUGGAUAAGUAUAUUUCCGUUGCAUCAGAAUAAAUUGAGUGUGUUUAUUUAUUCUGCUUGCUUGAAUGUGCUCUAUGAUUUGCCCCAGUUGUGGCAUUCUUGGUUAUAAUUUGACAUAACCAAGGUCAUUAAUAUCAAGGAAACACAAUUCAAAACGAAUAACAAUGUGGAGAGAUAUUAAAACAAGGCAAAAAAAAUACAUGUAGUGUGAAUACGAAUUGUAAAUCUACUAACACAUGAGUUAGAAGCCCCCCAAAAAAAUUUUGAAGGAAUUAAAUUACUGAUAGAAGAUACAAUAAUUAACCAUUAUAUUUAAUCAAAUUAAGAAUUAGCAAAGUAAUUAAUCCAUCUAAUUCAUCUAGACUGUUAGUCAUCAGUUGUGUGGAUCCAGUUAACAAGGCACUUAGAGUAGAAUAUUACAAAUGACGAGACCAGGGCAAGUUUAGAUAUGUGUAGAAUAGAUCUGUUGAAUUCUUUUUUGUCUGGGUGGGAAGAAGUGAUUUCAAGUGGUUUCUGUUGUCAGGAGUAAUGAGACAUUUGCUUCCAACUUCAGUGGCGAUGAAUGUACAGGUGAAGCGGAGUUGGGUGAUGUCAUGGACUAAGAUAUAGAUUCUUCAGAAUCUACCCAGAAAGUUAUCACCAUUGUCCAGACUACAGAGCAGGAACCAGAAAUUACCUCUAAUAGCAGCAGU